rnacentral:lncRNA from 1 species
UUGGCUGGACGCCCCCUCCCCCUAUGGCAGCCAUCCUCCAUUGCUUCCUCCCCCAAGAUCUCCCCCUACGCAGCAAGGAUCGAGAAAAGGAGGGGCACAUUGAAUUGAAGAGGAAGAGAGGAUCAAGGAGAUGUUCUUCCCCAUCUCCUCUUGAAGAUUUCUUGGGGAAACCCUAGGUAUGGAUGAGAUCCUUGUUCCUCCAUGUAAUUAUAGGCUUUUGGAGGUUGUGGAUCAUGGGAAUUAAAGGAUUAGAGGUUGGAUUUGAUGUGGGGUUAGGUUUUGAUCUCGAAUUUAGUUUUCUGCAGAAUGGCAGAUUCGACAGUUUCUGUUCAUGCCAGUUUUCCGUGGUCUUAGUGGCCUCAAAAAAAUAAAAAGUCUAUGUAUGAAUCGUAGAUAAUUUGUAGAUCUUUCCGUGGCCGCGAAGAACACCUCAAUCGGACAUCCGACCAGAAAGUUAUUGCAGUUUUACUAUAGCAGUUUUUCAGUCUCAUAAUUCUGUGCAGAAUCUGUUCUCUUAAGAUUUAGGCAAUUUUAUCAACAGAAUUAAACUGUGGGUUGGUAAAAGAAGUUGUAGAUAAUUUUAUAAGCUUUCCAGAUUGUUAAAGAGUGCAUUCAUAUGAUUUGUGAAACUCCAGUUAUGUUUGUUUUACUGUGGCUGUUCCUGUUUACCUGACAAAAAUGAGUGGGUCUGUUCACUGGUGGGUUUCAUCUAGUAAAUGGCCGAAUUGGCUCUUCCAACUAUGGAGACUUUUGUAGAGGGAUAAAAGUUCUUACUUCCAGCAGAAUUUCAUAAUUUUUGGUUCAGCAGUUUUGGAGAUAUCGAAUUUUAAAGUUAACCAUACUGCUGUCUAAAACAGAUUCAGUCAGUUAUCUUGUCAGAUGUUUUAGAACUUGUAGAUGACAGAAUUUAAUUAUCUAUUGAAUACUGAAGUUGUAGAGUAUUUUGUGUAGAUACUCCUAGAGUAUUUGUUUGAUAUCACCGCUGUUUUAAUUUUAAAGAUACAAAAUUAACAAACAGCGUUGCUGCUGUAUGGCAUGUGGUUCAGGGUGGGAGUCUUUCCACUGGGUCUUGGUUUCAAGUGUAGGAGUGUUUUGUUGAUUGAUGGCAAAUGUUUGUGAAAUAUUUGUACUAAGUUUUAUGCCCACUAGCAGGUGGCUACACUCCAGAUCAUGUCUAGUACAUUUCUUCUUCUUCGAUGAAGGCAAGUGAAUGUAGCGGUGGUUGCUUCCGUUCUGACCUGUUAUUUCUAUCGCCUACACUCUAAUAUUCAGAAGUAUCAGAUUCUUUCAUAAUUGGACUCUAUGGUGAUGCUUUACUUGCUUGCAUUAUACUGAUGCUCAAUCAUAUAUUGAUGAUGAUUAUGAUUUGAGUAUGACUCAUGAGAUUAAUUCACACCCCUGAAGGUAAAUGAAGUAUUAUUUGAGGUUGGUAUUGUAUCUGAAGGUAAAUGAAGUAUUAUUUGAGGUUUGUGUUGUAUCUGAAGGAAGUGAAGUUUAUUGAUAAAUGUAGCAUGCCAUAUACAUUGCAUGACUCAUUUGCAUAUGAAGUUUUGUCGUGACCUAUGGUCCGACCGUACCGGUACAACUUAGCAUCGUACGUUGCCCGAGAAGGGGUACGAUGCGGCUUCAUACCCUUAGAGGUAUGAAGGCAGAGGACAUAUGCAUUGCAUUCAUAUGCAUUCAUUGAAGUGAUAUUUGCAGAUGAUGUGGUUUUAUACCCCCAGAGGUAUGAAGAUAGAGUACCUACACAUUGCAUUCCUAUGCAUACAUUGAAGUGAUAUUUGCAGGUAUUGUUGACGCAGGGAAGUGUUAUAGAACCUAUUGUGGUUGUUCGAGGAAAUGAGAUGGUAUUGGUUAUAGUGGGACUACUGAGUUCUAUAUCUACAAGCAUUUCUGAUUUUUAAUUGUGACUCUUUUAAAAUGUUGAUGAAUUCAAUUUGUGGUUUAAAUAUCUCGUCAGAACAAUUAGCUUGCUGAGAUGUUUCAUCUCACUCUUGCAUUACUCAAUGCAGGUGCUUGUUGCUCAUCAAGGGGAGUGGGAAGUAGCAGCACAUCCACCUUCAUUCUCAUAAUAAUGCUGCCCAGACGCAGCCAUGAUUUAAUUAGAAACUUCUUGUCAAAGGAUGUUUGUUUUUAACUAGUCGUGUGCACUGAUUAAUUCAGUUCAUGUUGUUAUGGUUGUCUUCCCAUUGCUAGCAGAUUAUUAAUGUCUUAUAUGUUUUCUUAUCAUGAUAUCUAUUUAUACUUUGUUGCUUCCCCCGUUUAUGCAAUUUUCAAAGGAGAUGCUGUCGAAAUUUUAUAUAUGAAUAUUAGAUGUGUAGUUUAGUAGCAUUCUGGGGUGUUUGUGGAUCCCGGGGUGUUACAGUUGGUAUCAGAACAUAGGCUUUAGAUUCUUGGCAAUUUGAAGAUAAAUUUGACACACUUGCACAUAUAGGAAGGGUAUGGGUUCAAAUAUCUUUGAUAUAUAUUAAUGUCUUUGGAGUGCAGAUGACAAUAGUUUCACCCCUCCCUAUUCCUUUACGGUGAUGUGGUAAGUUGUUUAUGGCUUAAUGCUUGAUAUAAUUUAUUUCUGAAAUUUUGAUAUUGUUUUAUUAAUGCGGUAGAUAUCGCUGGUCAUUGGUGAGAAUGAAGUUGUUAUUAUGCUUGUGAUAUACAAGUAUGCCUAUGUUGUUUUCACCAUGUUUUUCAUGGUUGAGUUUUAUUACAAUAAUAUUGUUAUAUAUGCUUGAUUGUGGAUGUUUCUAAGAGGAGUGUGAAUUGUGUGUUUUGGGGUACAAGGUAAUCAUCAAUUUGAAUUUAAGUUGUUGAGCGGUUGGUGGAUAGCUCCAACUAUCAUUGCAAAGAAUGAUUGUUUAUGUUGAGAAACCAGUUUUGAAAGAAAUGAAUAUUGGUACUUUAUAUGGAUUUUUGGGGGAAGUCUUUUCAUAGCCAGAAUGGCUUACAUGUCUCUCUCAUAUUGUGUGUUUUAGUUGCCACAAAGCCUAGAUGUGGUUUAAAGUGGUUGCCUGUUAGUCAUACUAAUUGUAGAAUAAAUCUUUGAUUCUCUUGAUCCAUUGAUUAUGUAUUGAUACAAUGAGGAUCUGAUGGUUCCCUUUUCGAUGCAUGCUUGUGGAGCCAUUUUUUUUAGACCACCUAUCUAUUGGUUUGAAGGAAGUCCUUGCCUAGCCUAGAGUUGGUUGGGUGUGGCUAGUCACCUAUUCCUAGAUCAUGUGGUGUUUACAUCAGCUUAAUAUGUUUGUCAAAUGUGUGAAGGAUUAGGGGUUAUUAUUAUUGACUUUGUAUGUCUGGUACUUUGAGUGCAUCGUAUGAUAGAAUGAAAUGUAAGUUUCUGAACUACAGUAGAUGAAGACUUAUAUUAUGUGUAGGUUAUCCUUACUAGUUGGAUAUUUUUCUUAGUUGAGAUGUUGAACGAAGUAUAGUGACAUGGGUUAAGCAAGUAUUGUGUUGUUGUUGGGCUAUCAAUGCUCUAUGUAGAGUUUUUGGCAUUUCUUCGAUGAACUAUGCCGCACAAGAUGUUAUUGGCUUCUUUUGGCUUUAUUGCUCCAUUAGUUCUAUAGAUUUUCUCCCUUUUGGUGGGGUGCAUGGAAUGUUAGAUUACAUGAUUAUCUUUUCAUGAUGGCAAGAAUAAGGUUUAGGAAGAUUAGGAGUUUUGUUCCAAUAGAACUACUUGUUUCAUAGUGCUUUAAGGUGAGGUGUUUGAUCUUCUUAUACAUUCGUCGGGUGUAGAUGUUUCACCAUUUAAUUAAAAUUAAUGGUUGAAGUUGGUAAGGGUUGUGCUUGGUGCAUAUUACCCCUUCAUAAAAGAGUGUUGUCUUAAGACAUUGAUGUUGAUGUAUAGCUGCAUCCAAAUUUGAUGGUGUGAAAUUGGAGUGUUGAUUGCAACUAUGACAUGCUUUGAGCUUCAUUACAUGUUGUUUCAUGCUUGAUGUUAGGUCGUGUAGUUUCCUUAGACAAUUAGUCCAAGGUAGAAGUUCUUGUGUUAAUUAAGACCAAUAAUGGACCCAUGUUUUGAAUUGUGGUGCUAUAUGGGGUACCUUGGGUGUUUUGCUUGGAGUGGCCGAAUUCGAGGUCGAAUUCUUUUUAAGGGGGGUAGAGUGUAAUAUCCCAAAAAAAAUGUUGACCAAAAGUUAAUCUCUGGUGCGUGGAUGAGGUAAAGGGUUGUGGGCCAUUGGAUGCAAAGAUAGAAGUCAUCUGAGGCGUCGUUUCUUUCUCCCACAAAAACCCUAGGUGGCCACCCCUUUUUUUCCCUUCACCCCCCCUCUUGGCCGCCACCCCCUUUUUCUCCCCCUUGGCUGGACGCCCCCUCCCCCUAUGGCAGCCAUCCUCCAUUGCUUCCUCCCCCAAGAUCUCCCCCUACGCAGCAAGGAUCGAGAAAAGGAGGGGCACAUUGAAUUGAAGAGGAAGAGAGGAUCAAGGAGAUGUUCUUCCCCAUCUCCUCUUGAAGAUUUCUUGGGGAAACCCUAGGUAUGGAUGAGAUCCUUGUUCCUCCAUGUAAUUAUAGGCUUUUGGAGGUUGUGGAUCAUGGGAAUUAAAGGAUUAGAGGUUGGAUUUGAUGUGGGGUUAGGUUUUGAUCUCGAAUUUAGUUUUCUGCAGAAUGGCAGAUUCGACAGUUUCUGUUCAUGCCAGUUUUCCGUGGUCUUAGUGGCCUCAAAAAAAUAAAAAGUCUAUGUAUGAAUCGUAGAUAAUUUGUAGAUCUUUCCGUGGCCGCGAAGAACACCUCAAUCGGACAUCCGACCAGAAAGUUAUUGCAGUUUUACUAUAGCAGUUUUUCAGUCUCAUAAUUCUGUGCAGAAUCUGUUCUCUUAAGAUUUAGGCAAUUUUAUCAACAGAAUUAAACUGUGGGUUGGUAAAAGAAGUUGUAGAUAAUUUUAUAAGCUUUCCAGAUUGUUAAAGAGUGCAUUCAUAUGAUUUGUGAAACUCCAGUUAUGUUUGUUUUACUGUGGCUGUUCCUGUUUACCUGACAAAAAUGAGUGGGUCUGUUCACUGGUGGGUUUCAUCUAGUAAAUGGCCGAAUUGGCUCUUCCAACUAUGGAGACUUUUGUAGAGGGAUAAAAGUUCUUACUUCCAGCAGAAUUUCAUAAUUUUUGGUUCAGCAGUUUUGGAGAUAUCGAAUUUUAAAGUUAACCAUACUGCUGUCUAAAACAGAUUCAGUCAGUUAUCUUGUCAGAUGUUUUAGAACUUGUAGAUGACAGAAUUUAAUUAUCUAUUGAAUACUGAAGUUGUAGAGUAUUUUGUGUAGAUACUCCUAGAGUAUUUGUUUGAUAUCACCGCUGUUUUAAUUUUAAAGAUACAAAAUUAACAAACAGCGUUGCUGCUGUAUGGCAUGUGGUUCAGGGUGGGAGUCUUUCCACUGGGUCUUGGUUUCAAGUGUAGGAGUGUUUUGUUGAUUGAUGGCAAAUGUUUGUGAAAUAUUUGUACUAAGUUUUAUGCCCACUAGCAGGUGGCUACACUCCAGAUCAUGUCUAGUACAUUUCUUCUUCUUCGAUGAAGGCAAGUGAAUGUAGCGGUGGUUGCUUCCGUUCUGACCUGUUAUUUCUAUCGCCUACACUCUAAUAUUCAGAAGUAUCAGAUUCUUUCAUAAUUGGACUCUAUGGUGAUGCUUUACUUGCUUGCAUUAUACUGAUGCUCAAUCAUAUAUUGAUGAUGAUUAUGAUUUGAGUAUGACUCAUGAGAUUAAUUCACACCCCUGAAGGUAAAUGAAGUAUUAUUUGAGGUUGGUAUUGUAUCUGAAGGUAAAUGAAGUAUUAUUUGAGGUUUGUGUUGUAUCUGAAGGAAGUGAAGUUUAUUGAUAAAUGUAGCAUGCCAUAUACAUUGCAUGACUCAUUUGCAUAUGAAGUUUUGUCGUGACCUAUGGUCCGACCGUACCGGUACAACUUAGCAUCGUACGUUGCCCGAGAAGGGGUACGAUGCGGCUUCAUACCCUUAGAGGUAUGAAGGCAGAGGACAUAUGCAUUGCAUUCAUAUGCAUUCAUUGAAGUGAUAUUUGCAGAUGAUGUGGUUUUAUACCCCCAGAGGUAUGAAGAUAGAGUACCUACACAUUGCAUUCCUAUGCAUACAUUGAAGUGAUAUUUGCAGGUAUUGUUGACGCAGGGAAGUGUUAUAGAACCUAUUGUGGUUGUUCGAGGAAAUGAGAUGGUAUUGGUUAUAGUGGGACUACUGAGUUCUAUAUCUACAAGCAUUUCUGAUUUUUAAUUGUGACUCUUUUAAAAUGUUGAUGAAUUCAAUUUGUGGUUUAAAUAUCUCGUCAGAACAAUUAGCUUGCUGAGAUGUUUCAUCUCACUCUUGCAUUACUCAAUGCAGGUGCUUGUUGCUCAUCAAGGGGAGUGGGAAGUAGCAGCACAUCCACCUUCAUUCUCAUAAUAAUGCUGCCCAGACGCAGCCAUGAUUUAAUUAGAAACUUCUUGUCAAAGGAUGUUUGUUUUUAACUAGUCGUGUGCACUGAUUAAUUCAGUUCAUGUUGUUAUGGUUGUCUUCCCAUUGCUAGCAGAUUAUUAAUGUCUUAUAUGUUUUCUUAUCAUGAUAUCUAUUUAUACUUUGUUGCUUCCCCCGUUUAUGCAAUUUUCAAAGGAGAUGC